ACGAGCGGCUCCACGCUGCCUUUCCCCAUUGGCUAGUGGUUGCGCCCGCCCUCGGCCCUAGACAGUUGUCGGCCGCUGAUUGAAGCAGGGCCGGCUGCCGGAAGCGGAGGCGACGGCGGCGGAAGCGGCUUGACCGCCAUUUUGGGAAGGGGCAACAGUGAUGGCAGAGGCUGAGCGACGCAGGUGUCAAGGGGGGGGGGUCUUGGCCGUGGUUGUGCGCCUGCUGAACAGUCCCUCUUACCGCUGUUUCGGGCCCCACUUUCUCCCAGAAGACCCUGCGGACCUUUCCGCCAAGGACCCCGACUAGUGGCGCAGGUCAGGGGCUCCGGUGUCAGCCGCGAACCCAACUGGGCAGGCCGGGUGGGCGGCCGCCUCUGGCGAGGCCCCGGCGCCCACGGGACCCGCUGACCGUGUCCGGAUUUCCUCAAGCAGCCCGGCUGCCCACCGCUUGCACCCGGCGCCCGCAGCCGCCGCGCGUGGGCUGACGGACUGGCUCGGACGACCUCCCCUAGGAAGAGCGAGGUCCGUGGCUUACGGGUCCGAAGCAGCCCGCCUGGGACUGGGGAAGGAAAUAGCCUUAGGUUUGUCCCCACUCGAGGAACAGUUCCCCGCACAAGCUCCGGAAGCCUGGCCGAGGUGGCUGGCCGCCGUCUGCGUCGCAGCGGAGCGCUCAGAGCUCCACACGGUCUGGAACUGCAGGAGGAAGAAAGCAUCUACUGCAC